UCAUUUAGUGUGUGUGUUUGUGUGUGUGUGUGUGUGUGUGUGUACACACACACACACACACACACACACACACAGUGUAAUGG
rnacentral:miRNA from 1 species